rnacentral:rRNA from 1 species
UGGGGAAUUUUACGCAAUGGGCGAAAGCCUGACGUAGCGACACCGCGUGAGCGAAGAAGCCCUUUGGGGUGUAAAGCUCUGUCGGCUGGGACGAAAAAAAUGACGGUACCAGCAAAGGAAGCAUCGGCUAACUACGUGCCAGCAGCCGCGGUAAGACGUAGGAUGCAAGCGUUGUCCGGAUUUAUUGGGCGUAAAGAGUUCGUAGGUGGUUUGUUAAGUCUGAUGUUAAAGAUCGGGGCUCAACCCCGGGAGUGCAUUGGAUACUGGCAGACUUGAGUGUGGUAGAGGUAAGUGGAAUUCCCAGUGUAGCGGUGAAAUGCGUAGAUAUUGGGAAGAACACCAGUGGCGUAGGCGACUUACUGGGCCAUAACUGACACUGAGGAACGAAAGCCAGGGGAGCAAAUGGGAUUAGAUACCCGGGUAGUCC